UACGUAGGGGGCAAGCGUUGUCCGGAAUCAUUGGGCGUAAAGCGCGUGUAGGCGGCUCGGUAGUCUGCUGUGAAAGUCCAGGGCUCAACCCUGGGAUGCCGGUGGAUACUGUCGAGCUCGAGUCCGGAAGAGGCGAGUGGAAUUCCCGGUGUAGCGGUGAAAUGCGCAGAUAUCAGGAGGAACACCAAUGGCGAAGGCAGCUCGCUGGGACGUGACUGACGCUGAGACGCGAAAGCGUGGGGAGCAAACAGG
rnacentral:rRNA from 1 species